AGGUUUAUGAUGACAAACCAAUGUCAUGAAUAGAGCUGAUGACACAAAAAUGAUGCACAAUCAGUUUAUGCUGAGGCCC